rnacentral:rRNA from 1 species
GCAAGUCGAGCGGUAACAGAGAGUAGCUUGCUACUCUGCUGACGAGCGGCGGACGGGUGAGUAAUGCUUGGGAAUAUGCCUUAUGGUGGGGGACAACAGUUGGAAACGACUGCUAAUACCGCAUGAUGUCUACGGACCAAAGUGGGGGACCUUCGGGCCUCACGCCAUAAGAUUAGCCCAAGUGGGAUUAGCUAGUUGGUGAGGUAAUGGCUCACCAAGGCGACGAUCCCUAGCUGGUUUGAGAGGAUGAUCAGCCACACUGGGACUGAGACACGGCCCAGACUCCUACGGGAGGCAGCAGUGGGGAAUAUUGCACAAUGGGCGCAAGCCUGAUGCAGCCAUGCCGCGUGUGUGAAGAAGGCCUUCGGGUUGUAAAGCACUUUCAGUAAGGAGGAAAGGUUAAGUGUUAAUAGCACUUAGCUGUGACGUUACUUACAGAAGAAGCACCGGCUAACUCCGUGCCAGCAGCCGCGGUAAUACGGAGGGUGCGAGCGUUAAUCGGAAUUACUGGGCGUAAAGCGUACGCAGGCGGUUUGUUAAGCGAGAUGUGAAAGCCCCGGGCUCAACCUGGGAACUGCAUUUCGAACUGGCAAACUAGAGUGUGAUAGAGGGUGGUAGAAUUUCAGGUGUAGCGGUGAAAUGCGUAGAGAUCUGAAGGAAUACCGAUGGCGAAGGCAGCCACCUGGGUCAACACUGACGCUCAUGUACGAAAGCGUGGGGAGCAAACAGGAUU